rnacentral:rRNA from 1 species
AUUGAACGCUGGCGGCAGGCCUAACACAUGCAAGUCGAACGAGUGGCGGACGGGUGAGUAAUGUCUGGUAAACUGCCUGAUGGAGGGGGAUAACUACUGUAAACGUUAUCUAAUACCGCAUACCCUCAGAUGUGCCCAGAUGGGAUUAGCUAGUUGGUGGGGUAACGGCUCACCAAGGCGACGAUCCCUAGCUAGUCUGAGAGGAUGACCAGCCACACUGGAACUGAGACACGGUCCAGACUCCUACGGGAGGCAGCAGUGGGGAAUAUUGCACAAUGGGCGAAAGCCUGAUGCAGCCAUGCCGCGUGUAUGAAGAAGGCCUUCGGGUUGUAAAGUACUUUCAGCGGGGAGGCGUUACCCGCAGAAGAAGCAAUGGCUAACUACGUGUCAGCAGCCGCGGUAAUAC